rnacentral:rRNA from 1 species
UACGUAGGUGGCAAGCGUUAUCCGGAUUUACUGGGUGUAAAGGGCGUGUAGGCGGGACUGCAAGUCAGAUGUGAAAUUCCAGGGCUCAACCCUGGAACUGCAUUUGAAACUGUAGUUCUUGAGUGAUGGAGAGGCAGGCGGAAUUCCGUGUGUAGCGGUGAAAUGCGUAGAUAUACGGAGGAACACCAGUGGCGAAGGCAGCAUACCGGCGCCCGACUGACGCUGAAGCACGAAAGCGUGGGUAUCGAACAGG